rnacentral:ncRNA from 3 species
GGCUGGGCGAGUUAAUUUGUAUUUAUUCGCUUUCACAAGUGAUUUACGACUUCUGGGUGGGAAGCC